GAUGAAGAACGCAGCGAAAUGCGAUAAGUAGUGUGAAUUGCAGAAUUCAGUGAAUCAUCGAAUCUUUGAACGCACAUUGCGCCCCUUGGUAUUCCAUGGGGCAUGCCUGUUCGAGCGUCAUUUGUACCUUCAAGCUUUGCUUGGUGUUGGGUGUUUGUCUCGCCUUUGCGUGUAGACUCGCCUUAAAAUAAUUGGCAGCCGGCGUAUUGAUUUCGGAGCGCAGUACAUCUCGCGCUUUGCACUCAUAACGACAGCGUCCAAAAGUACAUUUUACACUCUUGACCUCGGAUCAGGUAGGGAUACCCGCUGAACUUAAGCAUAUCAAUAAGGGAGGA
rnacentral:misc_RNA from 1 species